rfam:Selaginella moellendorffii unplaced genomic scaffold SELMOscaffold_21, whole genome shotgun sequence.
GUCAGGAUGGCCGAGUGGUCUAAGGCGCCAGACUCAAGUUCUGGUCCUCUACCGAGGGCGUGGGUUCGAACCCCACUUCUGACA